rnacentral:rRNA from 1 species
GACAGAGGGGGCAAGCGUUGCUCGGAAUCACUGGGCGUAAAGGGCGCGUAGGCGGGAUGGCAAGUCAGUCGUGAAAUCUCUCGGCUCAACCGAGAAACGUCGGCUGAUACUGCCGUUCUUGAGGGAUGCAGAGGAGACUGGAAUUCCCGGUGUAGCGGUGAAAUGUGUAGAGAUCGGGAGGAACACCGGUGGCGAAGGCGGGUCUCUGGGCAUCUCCUGACGCUGAGGAGCGAAAGCGUGGGGAGCGAACAGG